GUACUGCCGAACGUUCAGCAGUUCUUCCCUGGUAAAACUGAUUGUAGGAGUAUAAUGAAAGAUAGGGCAAACUAACAAAAACAGUAAAACAACUGCGGAGCUCCACACCGAGGCAGCCGUUCGCGGCGCCAUCAUGACAUGACAUUGUGGCCAGUAAUUGUGCUACAUGUCCACCCCCUCAAAGAAAGUAUCUAAAUCCAGAUCUUGACACAUCAUAAGGCACCAUUCAUUUGUUGACUUUGAGUUUAUUGCAAAGGCUGCACUUUUACUCACAGUCCAACAGCCCCCCUCCAGAAAGAACGAUUAAAUAUAAUAUUUUUAACUCCUACAAAUCGCUACACUUCUACCUUUCAGUCACUCGCCAUCUUUAAGUGCUUCUCUGAGUUCCACUCGCAGUGCUCCAGAUCCUAUCGCAGAAACACAGGGCGCAAGGCUAUGCAAGGCUAUGCAAGGCUAUGCAAGGCUAUGGGGCCCCUGGACGGGACUCCAGUCCAUCACAGGGUAGCGCUUCUGUGUUUGACUCCACCAAGACUACACUGUUGUGUAGAGAAAGGAGGCAUGCGGAAGGUGGCUCUUGUGCCCUUGCAGAGGAGCAGAGGAGGCAGUGUGAUUCAGCGCUCCAGGAGAUGGAAAAAAACGAGCGGCGACAGGAAUAGCAGCAAAUUCAGACAGGCAGGCGCGGCUGCACACGGAGACGACAGUGAUAUUUCCAUGUCUUCUCCCAGGAGAAGGUCCGUCUGCCUCUGCCUCUGCUUUCCAUAAAUAAACAUUGUUACCAUUGUUGCUGGAGUUCUGAACCAUUACCAUGAACUUUAAGAAAAAUCAGAAACAGCAAGUCAAAGAAUAGCAGCUUUAUCACUGGAAGCACUAUCUAAACAUAUCUAUUUUUAUACUGAAUAAAAAUGAUUACGCAUCUGCA
rnacentral:lncRNA from 1 species